rnacentral:lncRNA from 1 species
CAAAGCUUCGCUUCAUCCAUUAAUUAAACAAAAGAAAGUUGCUUAAUUAAUAAACGGAAAAUCGAUCAAAAACCAUCAAAAAACCGUUGAGCGACACUUACAUAAUACCUCACACACACCUCAAAAAAGGCUUCUUCAAGUCACAGAACCUAGUACCUACGUCCCCUUAGCAGAGCCCACGACCACCAGCAGCCACCUCCCACGGAUCAGCUCGACGAACAACUGUCGCAGAGUGUCACUGCAGCCAGCCACCCGCACCAUGCGGAGGCCACCGAUGUUCAGCCAAAAACUGUCGUGGAUCCGAGAUGCAGCUCAGAUCGGGACGUGUCACCAUGCACACCCGCGCCACCACGCGCAUCAGCGCUGCCUUCACUUGCUGCCCAGCAGCCUCUCCUCUCGGAUCAGCGAUGCACGACCUCCAUCCUUGCAGCGUCUUCCCGAGCAGAGC